GAGGGCCGGCGGUAGGUUUGCACGUCCUACCGCCAUCAGCAGUGGCGGUAGGCCCUCUAACGGCGACUGACGGCCGUCGGCGCGUACUGACGGGGGAAAGAGCCUACCGCCACAGUCUGAGGCGGUAGGGUUCGGUGGCCUACCGCCCGAGGUGGUGGCGGUAGGUACCGAAGAGGCAAGUGAUGCUGCAGGCGGGCCCUACCCCACCCACCAGCCCGUUCUUCCUCCCCCCCUCGACUCGAACAGAGUCGAGCGCCGCCUCUCUCCUCAUCCCGAUCCCCUCCCUCGAUCUCCCUCUUCCCUCCACCAUUUUUGCGGAUCUUUGGGGCAAAUCGAAGAGGCCGGAACAUGGCGCCACCACCACCACUUGAUGAGGAUGAUGACUAUGAAGACCCACUUGAGGAAGCCAUCUGUGCUCAAAGAGUGAGGCUGAGCGAACGGGAGGUGUGCAACCUAUGCGACAACUUUCUGCCACGUGCUGAGUUGAUCGGGGCGCCACUCGUGACCCGUCUGACAAGUACCAUGAUCGAUCGACAUGUCAUGAAAUUGCCAAAGAGCCUAUCUGAGAGUUGUGGCAUCGAGGCUGAUGAAGAAGGCUAUGCUGGAAUACGCCUUACCGCAAGGGGCCCCGUCACUACUUGUGCGUACGGCGUGGAAACGGACGUCGCACACAUUUAAGCACAGAUGGGUGGAAGAGCUUCCUCGUUGACAAGAAUCUUCAUGUUGGACAGGCCAUCCUUAUUACUAUCAGGAAGACCAACCGUCAAGGCUUGAAGAUGAUGAUCGUCAUCGAUAUCAUUUAAACUAUAUAUGCGUGUGGCUGCUGAUGAUCGUCAUAUUUGAUUGCUACCUAUUUUGGCUUCGUGAAACUAUUUGGAUGUGAUCAAACUAUGUUAUGUUUAUGUCUAUGAAAUUGUGAUCAAACUAUGUUAUGUUUAUGUCUAUGAAAUUAUGAUCAAACUAUGUUAUUUGGUACUAGUUUCUUAAUCUGUAAUGGCAAAACUA